UACGAGGGGGGCAAGCGUUAUCCGGAAUCAUUGGGCGUAAAGGGUUCGUAGGCGGACUGAUCAGUUGGAAUUGAAAGACCACGGCUUAACCGAGGGAACGGUUUCAAUACUGUCAGUCUUGAGUGAGGUAGAGGUAAGCGGAAUUCCUGGUGUAGCGGUGAAAUGCGUAGAUAUCAGGAGGAACAUCAAAGGCGAAGGCAGCUUACUGGGCCUAUACUGACGCUGAGGAACGAAAGCGUGGGGAGCAAAC
rnacentral:rRNA from 1 species